rnacentral:snRNA from 1 species
GUGCUCACUUCAGCAGGACAUAUUCUAAAAUUGGAAGGAUACAGAGAAGAUUAGCAUGGCCUCUGCACAAAGGAUGGUGUGNAAAUCUGUGAAGCAUUCCAUAUUUUU